UGAGUGUCAUUUCCGACCGCCAUCUUUUUUUACUUCAGGUGUACAAGCAGGUUGUUUUGGAAGAAGGUGCCAAAAAACGUUGCUCCUGCGGGAUCUUCAGAGCAGCUCAGGAGCUUGUGGCGAAAAAGCUCGACGGAUUCCAAGCAGUUACCAAAAGAGGAUUGAACAGAUGCAGCGCGGUCUCUCUGUCGGCGGUUCUUGAACCAGUUGCCAACCUGCGUGGGUGUGAGUCCUGUGGCCUGGGCGAGGUGGCGU